ACAUGCCUACAACAUAGUGUUAAUGCACUGGAUCCCAUUAGAAAUCUACAAUUAAGAACACUUAGGCUAGAGUAGUACUGGGAUGGGUGACCGCCCGGGAAGUCCUACUAUUUUACAUGCC
rnacentral:rRNA from 1 species